rfam:Parasitella parasitica strain CBS 412.66 genome assembly, contig: contig_21329
GGUUUCAUAGUCUAAUGGUUAGGACGUGGGACUUUGAAUCCCGCGAUCCGAGUUCGAUCCUCGGUGAGACCU